rnacentral:rRNA from 1 species
CAGUCGCCGCGGUAAUACGAAGGGGGCUAGCGUUGUUCGGAUUUACUGGGCGUAAAGCGCACGUAGGCGGAUCGAUCAGUCAGGGGUGAAAUCCCAGAGCUCAACUCUGGAACUGCCUUUGAUACUGUCGAUCUGGUGUAUGGAAGGGGUGAGUGGAAUUCCGAGUGUAGAGGUGAAAUUCGUAGAUAUUCGCAGGAACACCAGUGGCGAAGGCGGCUAACUGGUCCAUAACUGACGCUGAGGUGCGAAAGCGUGGGGAGCAAACAGGAUUAGAUACCCCGGUAGUCCCUGUCUCUUAUAC